AACCUUAUGGACCUGCGGGCGUAUACCUGCGGAGGGAUCAUCACUAAGGAUGUUAUAUCCAAGGUAUCUGGCGAUUUAUAUGAGUGUUGGUAGAGUGUUCUGCCAAUAACUAUACUACAAGAUAAAACAACCUAAAACAAUACAAAACAUAUACAACUUUUAACAACGGAUCU
rnacentral:misc_RNA from 1 species